ensembl:miRNA
CUCGAAUCCUUGGAACCUAGGUGUGAGUGCCGUUCUGAUGCAACACACCUAUUCAAGGAUUCAAA